UACGUAGGGUGCAAGCGUUGUCCGGAAUACUGGGCGUAAAGAGCUCGUAGGCGGUCCGUCACGUCGGCUGUGAAAACCCGGGGCUCAACUCCGGGCCUGCAGUCGAUACGGGCGGACUAGAGUACUGCAGGGGAGACUGGAAUUCCUGGUGUAGCGGUGAAAUGCGCAGAUAUCAGGAGGAACACCGGUGGCGAAGGCGGGUCUCUGGGCAGUAACUGACGUGAGGAGCGAAAGCGUGGGGAGCGAACAGG
rnacentral:rRNA from 1 species